UACGUAGGGUGCAAGCGUUAUCCGGAAUUAUUGGGCGUAAAGAGCUCGUAGGCGGUUUGUCGCGUCUGCUGUGAAAACUGGAGGCUCAACCUCCAGCUGUCGACGGAAACCGUGUGGCUAGAGUCCGGAAGAGGAGAGUGGAAUUCCUGGUGUAGCGGUGAAAUGCGCAGAUAUCAGGAAGAACACCAAUGGCGAAGGCAGGUCUCUGGGCCAUAACUGACGCUGAGAAGCGAAAGCAUGGGGAGCGAACAGG
rnacentral:rRNA from 1 species